rnacentral:ncRNA from 2 species
CAGCGCAAAGGGAAUGAGGUUCUCCCGUGGCGAAAGCCAGAACCGCUUGUAAGGCAGAUUAUGAGCUGAUGACUUCUGUGAUGAU